rnacentral:pre_miRNA from 1 species
AAGAACAGAUCAGGGCUUGGAGAAAUAACACGCUAAAGAGUUUCAGCUGGUGUGGUCUCUCUCUGCCCAGUUUGCCCGUCCAGU